UGGGUCUGUGAGAACCAGACCCACAUCCAUGUUGAACACUAGUUGUAAUUGUUAUGGCUCCAUGGUUAAAGAAGGGGCAGUCUGGAAUUGUCCAAGUGGCAGGGUGACUGGUCGCUUUGCUGUUUGAAUCCCAGAUUGACUCUUUAUUAAGUCUAUCUGAAGGAGUUGUGUUGAAUAUCCAUGUGAGGUUUUAAGCAGUUUUAGUAUUUAUUUGUAAUAACUGACAACAUUAUAUCAGAAAUUAUUAUGGACUCCAGUGCACUAAAUAUACAGUAGAAAUGAUCAGGUGUAGUAUUAGUAGUGAAGUAUACAUGCAUACCAUUAUGUUUAUUUAACUGAGCAAGUCCGUUAAAGAACAAAUUCUUAUUUACAAUGACAGUCUAGGUAACAGUGGGUUAACUGCCUUGUUCAGGGGCAAAACGACAGAUGUUUACCAUGUCAGCUCAAGGAUUCAAUCCAGCAACCUUUCGGUUAUUGGCCCAACGCUCUAACCACUAGGCUACAUGCCGCCCCAUGUAAUGUAUUGUAGUGAAUUUGGGGCCUAGUCCCUCAUCCAGCGACUGUCAACACAACACCUCAGUCGUUACACCAAGAGAUAUGAAACCCUUGAUGAGGUUGCUAGGUGUUGGGUUAAGGUCACUACAGUAUUAACUCAGUAUAGACCAGGUUAUGAGGUUGCUAGGUGUUGGGUUAAGGCCACUACAGUAUAAACUCAGUAUAGACCAGGUUAUGAGGUUGCUAGGUGUUGGGUUAAGGCCACUACAGUAUAAACUCAGUAUAGACCAGGUUAUGAGGUUGCUAGGUGUUGGGUUAAGGUCACUACAGUAUAAACUCAGUAUAGACCAGGUUAUGAGGUUGCUAGGUGUUGGGUUAAGGUCACUACAGUAUAAACUCAGUAUAGACCAGGUUAUGAGGUUGCUAGGUGUUGGGUUAAGGUCACUACAGUAUAAACUCAGUAUAGACCAGGUUAUGAAAUUGCUAGGUGUUGGGUUAAGGUCACUACAGUAUAAACUCAGUAUAGACCAGGUUAUGAGGUUGCUAGGUGUUGGGUUAAGGUCAGUAUCAACUAGGUUGUGGGGACUGUCUGGUAAUUAGUCAAAUCUUAUGUCAUUGGUGUAGAAAAAGUAAUAAUCAAUAUGCUGGAU
rnacentral:lncRNA from 1 species